GGCUCUUUGGCGUUGCGGUCAAAGUCGCAUGUUGGUACCCUGUAGACCCGGGUUCAAGGCCGGGUGGGGUGA
rnacentral:tRNA from 1 species